rnacentral:rRNA from 1 species
GGAUGAUGAGGUUGGCAGAAAGUGGCGAACGGGUGAGUAACGCGUGGGUAAUCUACCCUGUAAGUGGGGGAUAACCCUCCGAAAGGAGGGCUAAUACCGCAUAAUAUCUUCUCCUCCUAAGAGAAGAAGAUUAAAGAUGGCCUCUAUACUAUGCUAUCGCUUCAGGAUGAGCCUGCGUCCUAUUAGUUAGUUGGUGGGGUAAUGGCCUACCAAGACCACAAUGGGUAGCCGGUCUGAGAGGAUGUACGGCCACACUGGGACUGAGAUACGGCCCAGACUCCUACGGGAGGCAGCAGUGGGGAAUAUUGCGCAAUGGGGGAAACCCUGACGCAGCGACGCCGCGUGGAUGAUGAAGGCCUUUGGGUUGUAAAACCCUGUUCUGGGGGAAGAAACCUUAAGGGUCCAAUAAACCCUUAAGCUGACGGUACCCCAAGAGAAAGCUCCGGCUAAUUAUGUGCCAGCAGCCGCGGUAAUACAUAAGGAGCAAGCGUUAUCCGGAAUUAUUAGGCGUAAAGAGCUCGUAGGCGGUCUUAAAAGUCAGGUGCGAAAUUAUCAGGCUCAACCUGAUAAGGUCAUCUGAAACUUUAAGACUUGAGGAUAGAAGAGGAAAGUGGAAUUCCCGGUGUAGCGGUGAAAUGCGUAGAUAUCGGGAGGAACCACCAGUGGCGAAGGCGGCUUUCUGGUCUAUCUCUGACGCUGAGGAGCGAAAGCUAGGGGAGCAAACGGGAUUAGAUACCCCGGUAGUCCUAGCUGUAAACGAUGGAUACUAGGUGUGGGAGGUAUCGACCCCUUCUGUGCCGCAGCUAACGCAUUAAGUAUCCCGCCUGGGGAGUACGGUCGCAAGGCUGAAACUCAAAUGAAUUGACGG